CCAAGACUCUGCUGAGAUAAGGUUCCUGGUUCAUCUCUAAGGUAGAUUUGUUGAACACAGAGACACAACAAUGCUAAUUUGAUUGAUGAAAAGAUUGUUUUGCUGGGAGCAGAGACAGUAAUUACUGAUAAUAUAAGCCUGAAUAUUCUAGAUCACAAAGGAUGCAGGGAACAUGCCAAAAUGAUGACAAUCUAUUCCAUCAAAACCAGCCAAAAAGCCAGCCGACAUUCUAAUUUUCCAACUGAAAGACUAUCACACGGCUUUCAACAAAGAGGAGCAAACUGGAAAUCUCUGCAUUAAUGAUGAAUGAGCAUUGAACAAUUGUUUUGAGAAGAAGAUACUACUAUAUGGAGAGGUUUCACAAAAUCAAAUGAUUGCUUCAGUUUCUGCAACCCUCUGAGGAAAAUAAUUUCCAGAUACAGUUUAAUGGUGGCUUGAUGGAACAGAUCUAAUACUGCAACUCAUAUUACUUCAAAAUGGUUUAACCAUUGAUUUCCAGAGGAUGAUGACUUGCACACAUUAGG